rnacentral:rRNA from 1 species
CAGCAGCCGCGGGAAAACGUAGGUGGCAAGCGUUGUCCGGAAUUAUUGGGCGUAAAGGGCUCGCAGGCGGUUUCUUAAGUCUGAUGUGAAAGCCCCAGGCUCAACCGGGGAGGGUCAUUGGAAACUGGGAAACUUGAGUGCAGAAGAGGAGAGUGGAAUUCCACGUGUAGCGGUGAAAUGCGUAGAGAUGUGGAGGAACACCAGUAGCGAAGGCGACUCUCUGGUCUGUAACUGACGCUGAGGAGCGAAAGCGUGGGGAGCGAACAGGAUUAGAUACCCCGGUAGUCCCUGUCUCUUAUAC